rnacentral:rRNA from 1 species
UAGGGAAUCUUCCACAAUGGACGCAAGUCUGAUGGAGCAACGCCGCGUGAGUGAAGAAGGUUUUCGGAUCGUAAAGCUCUGUUGUUGGUGAAGAAGGGUAGAGGCAGUAACUGGUCUUUAUUUGACGGUAAUCAACCAAGAAAGUCACGGCUAACUACGUGCCAG